UCCACGCUGUAAACGAUGAUCACUCGCUGUUGGCGAUACACUGUCAGCGGCUAAGCGAAAGUGAUAAGUGAUCCACCUGGGGAGUACGUUCGCAAGAAUGAAACUCAAAGGAAUUGACGGGGGCCCGCACAAGCGGAGGAGCAUGUGGUUUAAUUCGAUGAUACGCGAGGAACCUUACCAGGGCUCGAACGCAGGGGGAAUUACGGGGAAACCCGUAAGCCAGCAAUGGCCGCCUGCGAGGUGCUGCAUGGUUGUCGUCAGCUCGUGCCGUGAGGUGUUAGGUUAAGUCCUGUAACGAGC
rnacentral:rRNA from 1 species